ACGUAGGGUGCGAGCGUUAAUCGGAAUUACUGGGCGUAAAGCGUGCGUAGGUGGUUCGUUAAGUCCGUUGUGAAAGCCCCGAGCUCAACUUGGGAAUUGCAGUGGAUACUGGCGAGCUGGAGUGCGGUAGAGGAAGGUGGAAUUCCCGGUGUAGCGGUGAAAUGCGUAGAGAUCGGGAGGAACACCAGUGGCGAAGGCGGCUAUCUGGACGGUUACUGACGCUAAGACUCGAAAGCGUGGGGAGCAAACAGGA
rnacentral:rRNA from 1 species